rnacentral:rRNA from 1 species
GACGAACGCUGGCGGCGUGCCUAAUACAUGCAAGUCGAGCGAGUGAAUCUCCUUCGGGAGUGAAGCUAGCGGCGGACGGGUGAGUAACACGUGGGCAACCUGCCUCAUAGAGGGGAAUAGCCUUCCGAAUGGAAGAUUAAUACCGCAUAAGAUUGUAGCUUCGCAUGAAGUAGCAAUUAAAGGAGCAAUCCGCUAUGAGAUGGGCCCGCGGCGCAUUAGCUAGUUGGUGAGGUAACGGCUCACCAAGGCGACGAUGCGUAGCCGACCUGAGAGGGUGAUCGGCCACAUUGGGACUGAGACACGGCCCAGACUCCUACGGGAGGCAGCAGUGGGGAAUAUUGCACAAUGGGGGAAACCCUGAUGCAGCAACGCCGCGUGAGUGAUGACGGCCUUCGGGUUGUAAAGCUCUGUCUUCAGGGACGAUAAUGACGGUACCUGAGGAGGAAGCCACGGCUAACUACGUGCCAGCAGCCGCAGUAACAC